rnacentral:rRNA from 1 species
GCGGCUUAUCAGCUUGUUGGUGAGGUAAUGGCUCACCAAGGCGACGACGGGUAGCCGGCCUGAGAGGGCGACCGGCCACACUGGGACUGAGACACGGCCCAGACUCCUACGGGAGGCAGCAGUGGGGAAUAUUGGGCAAUGGAGGAAACUCUGACCCAGCGACGCCGCGUGCGGGAUGAAGGCCUUCGGGUUGUAAACCGCUUUCAGCAGGGAAUAAGCGCAAGUGAAGGUACCUGCAGAAGAAGCACCGGCUAACUAUGUGCCAGCAGCCGCGGUAAUACAUAGGGUGCAAGCGUUGUCCGGAAUUAUUGGGCGUAAAGAGCUCGUAGGUGGUUUGUUACGUCGGUUGUGAAAUUCAGGGGCUCAACCCCUGACUUGCAGCCGAUACGGGCAAGCUAGAGUUUGGUAGGGGAGACUGGAAUUCCU